rnacentral:rRNA from 1 species
AUUGAACGCUGGCGGAAUGCUUUACACAUGCAAGUCGAACGGCAGCACGGACUUCGGUCUGGUGGCGAGUGGCGAACGGGUGAGUAAUGUAUCGGAACGUGCCCAGUCGUGGGGGAUAACGUAGUGAAAAUUACGCUAAUACCGCAUACGAUCUAUGGAUGAAAGCGGGGAUCGCCAGACCUCGCGCGAUUGGAGCGGGCGAUAUCAGAUUAGGUAGUUGGUGGGGUAAAGGCCCACCAAGCCAACGAUCUGUAGCUGGUCUGAGAGGACGACCAGCCACACUGGAACUGAGACACGGUCCAGACUCCUACGGGAGGCAGCAGUGGGGAAUUUUGGACAAUGGGCGAAAGCCUGAUCCAGCCAUUCCGCGUGCAGGAUGAAGGCCCUCGGGUUGUAAACUGCUUUUGUACAGAACGAAAAGGUUUCUACUAAUACUAGGAGCUCAUGACGGUACUGUAAGAAUAAGCACCGGCUAACUACGUGCCAGCAGCCGCCGCGG